rnacentral:tRNA from 1 species
UCCAGGGUAGCCUAGUGGACAUGGCAUCUGCCCGGUAAGCGGAACGUUGUGGGUUCGAUUCCCACCCCUGGAC